AAAAUUCAGAUUCUUUUUCCCUCCCUCUCUGCUGAAACUACAGGUAAUUCUUGUCUUCGCACGCGUCCCUCCCGCUCGGCUGAAAAUGCACAACUGAACUUGUGAAGAGCUCCACUUCCAUUUUUGGAAAAAACUAGUCGGCAGAGUUCCAUUUCCGGCGUGGACAUAAACUAGUCAGCAGAGUUCCAUUUCCGGCGUGGACAUAAAGUUUCUAGGAAUAUGGAAGAGGAAGUCGCGUACGGAACGAGAUGGAUGUUUAUCCGGGCUGAUACCCUCGCCAAGUGGAAAGAACAGACCUUCCAGCUUGAUUCUUGCAACGAUAAACCCGCAAAGCUCUGGCCAUUGGGUCGAAGAAGGGAUGUAUGAAAGGAAAGGGAGGGCCUGAGAACUCGAGAUGUGAUUACAGAGGGGGGAAGGCUGGAAACGAAGAUCUUCGCCGGAAAAAGAUCUCCACCGCGCAAGGGGGAAAAAACCAUAUAUGAGAGGGGAAGCAAGAGCAGCCAAAGCCGUACAAUAUGCGAAGCAAGGGGUCUUUGCUGCUCUCGUAAUCCCUCGUCCACUUUCUCCCACUCCCAUCUCUCUCUAUCGCUCUCGUUCUCAGGCUGGUUCACAAUGACAGAACCUUCUAAGGUCAUUCACGUUCGCAAUGUGGGGCAUGAGAUAUCUGAAAUUGUCAAAGAACAUGGUGUUAUCAUGAGAUUUAUUCAAGUUUCUUGCUUAGGGGCAUCUCCAUCAUCUACAUCUCACUGAGGAACAUCCACUGUACCAUGAUUUGAAUGCUUACAGAGUUCUCUUUCAUGAGCUCCUCUCCCAAUUCGAAAUUUUCCCCAGCUCCGGCGCGCGUCAAGUACAUGUUCGUGUGUGUUCAGUCGUGCCGGCGUCCUCCCCCGUAUUCUCUCUGAACCACCAACCAAAGCUUCAUCGCUGACGAGUUGUUCUUUAUUCACUUUUUACAGAUCGACAAUGUAUCCGUAGCCCAGCUUUCUCUCGCAAGGUAUUGAUAAACAAUCCUACUAGUAUGGAAACAAAUUCUCUCUCUCAUUCAAAAUCUUGAGUAGCUUACCUCAUAUGGGAGUGCCCUAGUGUGCACAGCCGCAACAGUACACUACCUUUUCUUUCGGUUGUAAAAGCCUGAUGGGUGAAGAGGAAGAUGAUAGGCCAUCGAAGCCUUCUACAUCGAUUUCACCGACCCAAGGCUAUCAUGGUCCCGUAAAUCCAUACUACCCGACAAUUAUGAUGACACCAAAUACAAAUUCAAAUCCAUAUCUGUACCAUUGGAGUAGCCAGCAUCCAUCGAUGCCACCUAUUGGACAGACUAUGCCAUACCCUCCGUUGAGUAAUCCGGAGGAAUUAAGAAGAUUUCAAGAGAUUGGCCAACAUCCAUAUAUGCCACAUGUUGGAACAAUUAUGCCAUACCAUCUGUUGAGUAAUCCGAAGGAGUUGAGAAGAUUUCAAGAGACUGGCUAGCAUCCCUCGAUGCCACCUGUUGGAUCGAUUAUGCCAAACCCUCCAUUGAGUAAUCCGGAGGAGUUGAGACGAUUUCAAGAGACUAACCAGCAUCUCUCGAUGCCACCUGUUGGACCGAUUAUGCCAAACCCUCCAUUGAGUAAUCCGAAGGAGUUGAGACGAUUUCAAGAGACUAGCCAGACUUGCAAAAAAAUAUUAGAUGAUGAAUCACAAUUGCACAACCAUCCAGAAUCUCAAUUUAACACUAGCACACAACCAAUGCCAUCGGGCAAUGAGGAGGUGUGUGACGACACCAGUGCGAUGUAAUUCCAUAGAGAUAGGUGCUUAUAUCAGACGAUCAUUGUGUGACUAGACAGGCGACAGCUAAUUUUUUGGCAGCAUCAUGCGAUUGGACUUGUGUAGAAUUUUUUGUAGAUAUAAAUAUUGGCAACUUCUGUAGAUAAACUUGGCCAGUUGAUUUUUUGGCACCGGACCUGUACAGAAUUUGUUGUGAAUAUAAAUAUUAGCAGCUUGUGUAGAUAAACUUGGCUAGCUGAUUUUUUGGCAGCAUCAUGUGACUGGACUUGAAUUUUUUGCGGAUAUAAAUAUUGACAGUUUGUGUAGAUAAA